rnacentral:lncRNA from 1 species
AAAAUCAACCAACAACACUAGAAGAAAACCAAUAGCUAACUAUCUCUCAUGGCACAUAUGAGGAACUACACACGUGCCCUAUGCUUCAUAGCUCUUAUAGCCAUGGCCGCCACUUUCUUCUCUGGUCAUGCAGCAGGGAGUUACAUAGGUAUGAGUUUCCUCGUUCUUCCAUGAUCUCUCCACUCGUAUUUGGAUACACAAACAUAUAUUUUAUUGGUGUGUUCUAUGUGUUGAUUGGGGUAUCUCUAUUGUGCUUU